CUUCUGUGUUCGGGAAGAGACCAACCCGUGACCCAGAGAAGGGGUUUCACAACAUGCAGAUGGAGGUUUCAGAAGUCCUCAGCUGGAGCAACUAAAUAUGACUGAGACAACACAGUCCCACAGACAAAGACGGAGUCUCGCUUUAUCGCCCAGGCUGGAGUGCAGUGGCACACUUUGUCACCCGGGCUGGAGUGCAGUGGCCCGAUCUCGGCUCACUGCAAGCUCCGCCUCCCAGUUCCUCAUAGAUUCUGGAUAUUAGUCCCUUGGCAGACGAAUCGCUGGCAAAUAUCUUCUCCAGUUGAGCAGAGAUGGGGUUUGACCAUGUUGGCCAGGCUGGUCUCCAACUCCUGACCUCAGAUGAUCCACCCGCCUUGGCCUCCCAAAGUGCUGGGAUUACAAGCAUGAGCCACCGUGCACAGCCAAAAUACACGGAUUUUUAUAAAGGCCCUGAAGUAAAGAGUGAGAAACUCUGAUGAGUUGCCGUUUUGUUGUGUUUAUAAGAGGAAAUGUGAACUUUGUGAUCGUUCCACACAUUCUUGCCACUUCCCUAAAAAAAAAAAAAUAAAAAAGUCACAAAA